GGCGUGAGCGCCUCCCAGAAUCCUUUGUGUCCGAUUCCAGAACGCAGAGCAGGUGGCAUGUCAGAGAUUUAAGGGACUUUUUUAUAACAGGUAUGGGGCUUUUGUGCCGAGCACGAUUGAGCUAUCGCAUUUUAACGCGGGGGAGGCGAUGCAGAUGGGACAAAGGCCUCUUGCCGGCGAAGCAGGUGGGUGGCGUCUGAUCUGCCGGGUCAUCUCUUGUGACACUACAGGAGCAGCUCUGAGGCGCAAGUUUCUUAAGCAAGAUCAAAGCCUGGUUUGAAUGGACAAUCUAAUACAUCCCACCCAAAGUGUAGAAUAACCUCCAGUAUUAUAACACAAAAGAAGAUAUUUUGAAGAAUGUUGGUAAACAAACAACACUGGCCCCCGUUGACUUCCAUGUCGUACCCCAGAGAGCCUGCCGAGGGUCAGAGGUUAACAUGCUAAUAGAGGCUGCUGAUUGCUGCGAGUGGCUCUCUGUGGUUCUCGGCACGCAUGCGAC